rnacentral:rRNA from 1 species
AUACGUAGGGUGCAAGCGUUAAUCGGAAUUACUGGGCGUAAAGCGUGCGCAGGCGGUUAUAUAAGACAGAGGUGAAAUUCCCGGGCUCAACCUGGGGAUUGCCUUUGUGACUGUAUAGCUAGAGUACGGCAGAGGGGGAUGGAAUUCCGCGUGUAGCAGUGAAAUGCGUAGAUAUGCGGAGGAACACCGAUGGCGAAGGCACUCCCCUGGGCCUGUACUGACGCUCAUGCACGAAAGCGUGGGGAGCAAACAGGAUUAGAUACCCUGGUAGUCCACGCCCUAAACGAUGUCAACUGGUUGUUGGGUCUUCACUGACUCAGUAACGAAGCUAACGCGUGAAGUUGACCGCCUGGGGAGUACGGCCGCAAGGUUGA